rnacentral:rRNA from 1 species
GAUGAACGCUGGCGGCGUGCCUAAUACAUGCAAGUCGAGCGAAUGGAUUAAGAGCUUGCUCUUAUGAAGUUAGCGGCGGACGGGUGAGUAACACGUGGGUAACCUGCCCAUAAGACUGGGAUAACUCCGGGAAACCGGGGCCAAUACCGGAUAACAUUUUGAACCGCAUGGUUCGAAAUUGAAAGGCGGCUUCGGCUGUCACUUAUGGAUGGACCCGCGUCGCAUUAGCUAGUUGGUGAGGUAACGGCUCACCAAGGCAACGAUGCGUAGCCGACCUGGGAGGGUGAUAGGCCACACUGGGACUGAGACACGGCCCAGACUCCUACGGGAGGCAGCAGUAGGGAAUCUUCCGCAAUGGACGAAAGUCUGACGGAGCAACGCCGCGUGAGUGAUGAAGGCUUUCGGGUCGUAAAACUCUGUUGUUAGGGAAGAACAAGUGCUAGUUGAAUAAGCUGGCACCUUGACGGUACCUAACCAGAAAGCCACGGCUAACUACGCGCCAGCCGCCGCCGUAA